GACGAACUUUGGCGGCGUGCUUAACACAUGCAUGUCGAACGGAAAGGCCCUGCUUUUGUGGGGUGCUCGAGUGGCGAACGGGUGAGUAACACGUGAGUAACCUGCCCUUGACUUUGGGAUAACUUCAGGAAACUGGGGCUAAUACCGGAUAGGAGCUCCUGCUGCAUGGUGGGGGUUGGAAAGUUUCGGCGGUUGGGGAUGGACUCGCGGCUUAUCAGCUUGUUGGUGGGGUAGUGGCUUACCAAGGCUUUGACGGGUAGCCGGCCUGAGAGGGUGACCGGCCACAUUGGGACUGAGAUACGGCCCAGACUCCUACGGGAGGCAGCAGUGGGGAAUAUUGCACAAUGGGCGGAAGCCUGAUGCAGCAACGCCGCGUGCGGGAUGACGGCCUUCGGGUUGUAAACCGCUUUCGCCUGUGACGAAGCGUGAGUGACGGUAAUGGGUAAAGAAGCACCGGCUAACUACGUGCCAGCAGCCGCGGUGAUACGUAGGGUGCGAGCGUUGUCCGGAUUUAUUGGGCGUAAAGGGCUCGUAGGUGGUUGAUCGCGUCGGAAGUGUAAUCUUGGGGCUUAACCCUGAGCGUGCUUUCGAUACGGGUUGACUUGAGGAAGGUAGGGGAGAAUGGAAUUCCUGGUGGAGCGGUGGAAUGCGCAGAUAUCAGGAGGAACACCAGUGGCGAAGGCGGUUCUCUGGGCCUUUCCUGACGCUGAGGAGCGAAAGCGUGGGGAGCGAACAGGCUUAGAUACCCUGGUAGUCCACGCUGUAAACGGUGGGUACUAGGUGUGGGGUCCAUUCCACGGGUUCCGUGCCGUAGCUAACGCUUUAAGUACCCCGCCUGGGGAGUACGGCCGCAAGGCUAAAACUCAAAGGAAUUGACGGGGCCCCGCACAAGCGGCGGAGCAUGCGGAUUAAUUCGAUGCAACGCGUAGAACCUUACCUGGGUUUGACAUGGAUCGGGAGUGCUCAGAGAUGGGUGUGCCUCUUUUGGGGUCGGUUCACAGGUGGUGCAUGCCUGUCGUCAGCUCGUGUCGUGAGAUGUUGGGUUAAGUCCCGCAACGAGCGCAACCCUUGUUCACUGUUGCCAGCACGUUAUGGUGGGGACUCAGUGGAGACCGCCGGGGUCAACUCGGAGGAAGGUGGGGAUGACGUCAAGUCAUCAUGCCCCUUAUGUCCAGGGCUUCACGCAUGCUACAAUGGCUGGUACAGAGAGUGGCGAGCCUGUGAGGGUGAGCGAAUCUCGGAAAGCCGGUCUCAGUUCGGAUUGGGGUCUGCAACUCGACCUCAUGAAGUCGGAGUCGCUAGUAAUCGCAGAUCAGCAACGCUGCGGUGAAUACGUUCCCGGGGCU
rnacentral:rRNA from 1 species